UACGGGGGGGGCAAGCGUUGUUCGGAAUUACUGGGCGUAAAGGGCGCGUAGGCGGACUCUUAAGUCGGGGGUGAAAGCCCAGGGCUCAACCCUGGAAUUGCCUUCGAUACUGAGAGUCUUGAGUUCGGAAGAGGUUGGUGGAACUGCGAGUGUAGAGGUGAAAUUCGUAGAUAUUCGCAAGAACACCAGUGGCGAAGGCGGCCAACUGGUCCGAUACUGACGCUGAGGCGCGAAAGCGUGGGGAGCAAACAGG
rnacentral:rRNA from 1 species